rnacentral:lncRNA from 1 species
AUGGAUCCAAAAUAACACACGGGGUGAUGUGCAACCAAAUGGAAAAAACUAAACAAAACUACACUAACUAGGCCUUCUAUCACUACCAUUAAUAAAAAAAUUACUUCGAAAAGUUCAAAUUGCACAGAGCAAGAAAUACAAAAUGCCUCAGGAUUGACAUAUGGUACCUUCAAGCUGCCCUCUGGCGAUAUCCUUAAGCGAAACAAAGCUCGGAACAAGGUCCCAUGCCUCCGAAACCACUGAAGGUAAUUGAUCAACCUCAACCCUCACAAGGCCCUUUGUUACCAGAGCAUAAGCCUGCAAUCGAUUACGAUGUAACCCCAAGACUUGCCCUUCCUCAGUAAAAUUCAAUACUGAAAUGCCAAAAAAACCAACUGGAUUUUUAAACUCGUGCUCUUUAGUCCAAGACUCCUUCAUUCCAUAAUCCUUCAUCACCCAAACAAUGAUAUCAUCAUUCAAGUUAAGAAUUACAGAGAGCCAACCUUUCAAUACUCCGAGCUUAAAAUAAGUUUCAUCCAGAUCAUAAAUACAAGGGGGCAGUGGUAACUCUUGGAACUGCUCGCUUUCGACAUCAAAGGCACAUACCAAACGGGAACAGUCACUACUACUGUGACCAAUCCAAUGAAUAAACCCAUUGAUAUAAAUCCCAUGAGGAGUUACACCAUCAAAAGAGUAGGCAGGAUGCCCAAUGUUUCUCCAAAUGCCAGAGCCAACAGUCAAAACCAUUACUUGGUCAGGUUGGUCAGGCUUUCCGUAUGGAGACAAAACCCGAACUAGCUUGUAGACCUCACUGAUGGGGCUGAACCCAAAACCAUAACAGUCACGUCUAUCAGGAUUUGGAGGUGUUGGGAGAGAUAAAAACUCACCAGUAACUGGAUUGGAGAUGUGAAGAUGACGGCUCAAGUCAAAAUGGGCUUCGUAGUGACAGAGGAAGCCAUUGCACGAGCCUACAAUGGUCAUACAAAGAGUUCGGAGACUUCUUAUACUGAAAAGCUUCAAGGCGACGUCGUUUUGCCACCCGGCCCUGUCGAGGUCGACCAAGAAGUGGCCCCAGCGCGAGCGGACGCCAGUGACCAAGAGGCAAGCGGGUGUUCGUGAAAAUAGUUCUUUGGUGAAUUGAGGGUCCGAGAGCCAAGAACGCCAAGACUUGCACACGCGCUUGCAUUGGAUGAGGGUUUUUGUUGGGAUUUUGCAGAAGAUCUCCAUUAUUAUGUGCUCUGGCAAAUGCAGAAGGUAGGGUUUCUGAUCAUGCUCUUCUUCAUCGUCGUCGUCUUCUUGAUUUGGGGGUCUGUUUCUGUUGGUUGGCGCUCGUUUAUUUCUCUUCAUUGAUCGAAGUGGUGUCGUUGCGGUAGGCUGGCUAAGAUCGGAGAAGCGCCUCACUCAGAGACUCAGAGUUUGAGCUUGAAGAACGCUUCUUCAACCCGAGCUUCGUUAGAACCGAAGAGCAGAAAUGAGCUAAAAUCUGUUUUACAGGCAGUUCGACUGAUGUUUGGUAAUAUUUCAAUUAUUUUAAAAGUAGUGACUUUUUAAUAACAGCUUUUAAAAGUAGAUUUUAUUUUGUUUUUCAAAGCUGCUUUCAAAAGAAGUACAAAUAAAUAUUUAAUGAAUUUUUUUAAUUUUCAAAUAUCAUCAUUAAUUUUUUUUAAAUGACACUACCUCCACUUCUACAUCCAACUCCACCACUUGCACCAUCACAUUCACUACCUCCACAAUCACCGUCACCACCACUACCACCACAACCACUACCUCCUCCACCACCUCCACCUCCAACUCCACCACCACCACUGCUAAACUAUCCGAUUCGGUUUGAACCGGUUCUGAUCCGGUUUUAGUUUCGGUUUGGUUUUGAAUCGGAUUAUAAAAAUUGUUUUUUAAAAUUGUUUUACUGAAAUAUUAUUUUUUUUACUUGAAAAUUAACAAAUUAUUCAAUUUCAUAUAAAAAUAAAUAUUAAAGUUAGAAAAGAGAUAUAUUUUGAAAUUGAACUUGGAUAAAUAUUUGUUUUUUUUAUAGUGAAAUUAAAAAUAUAGCAUUAAAUAUAAAAAUAUAUUGAAAUUAUAUAUAUUUUUUAAUUUGACCGGUUCGGUUCGGCCCAGUCCGAUUUUUGAAGACAUGGAACUGGAUCUGGAACCGGUCCAAAUCGAUCUAUUUCGGUUUUUGGCCGUUGUUGACUUUUUAGUCGUUGUUGACUUUUUAGUCAACUCGUUUUUUUUUCAGUUUGGUUCGGUGUGGUUCGGCUCGAAUUUUCUGUUCACCGGUUUGAGUGCCCACCCCUAGUUACAACAAUUUUAUAUUAAAAUUUACCAAAUGGUUUUGACACUGCUUUUUGUACUAACAACACUUUAAAAAUAUUGUUUACCAAACACGGAGCUGGUUUACUUUACCGCUAAUUAUUUUCAAAGAACUGCAGAAGCAACUUUUUUUAAAAGUGACAGCAAUCCCAAACUAGGCUUAAGAGCACUUCCAACAAUUUGGGCUAGCCUGGGUAAAGGGGGCUCGAGGUCCGUUGCACAGUUCUAACGGGCUGGUGGUGGGGGGGACCUACAAACUAGGCAAGCUCAAAGGUAAAUCGAGCCCGAGCUUGUGCUCAAGGUUGAUGACGUCAGCACUGAUGCCAAGCUAGUGUCAACGCACGGUAUUCAAUUUUUUUUACUGUUGGAGCGUGGAAAUUUCAAAAUUGCAUGCGCUGACACCAGUCUAGCAUCAUCCCUGCUUUCUGCCAACGGCUACAAGCCACGUGUCAUGUCUUGGUGUCUCUAAUCCUAAUUUUUCCUCCAAUCCAACAAUUGCCAAUUUUUGUGUCUUAAAAAGAAAUUGAAAAAAUUUUCAAUUUUUUAAAAUUUUUUUUUUAAAAAAACCCAAAAAAUUCGGAAAUUUUUUUCCUAUAAAUAUCUACCAGUAUUAUUCACUUUCCACACAAAAUUUUAUUCCCUUUCCAAAUUUCAUUUGUGUAAAUAUACAAAUGGCAUAUUCCAUUGAAGCCGAAAGCUCGUGGACAACCAUGGAAGAUGUUUUUUUAUGUGAGUGUUGGGUCCAAGUUGGUCAUUGCCCGGUCAUGGGCAAUGAGAUGAAGUUCACUCAUAUGUGGAGAAAAAUUCAUGCCGAAGUUUGUGAAAGACCGGGUUUUGCUCAUACGGAAAUGGCCUUGGCUAGUAGGUGAAAAUUUUUGAAUAAACAGUUAGGGAAAUGGAGAGAUGCAUUGACAAAAGCGAGGGACGACGUUCAGAUCGGCUAAAAUAAUCUUGGCAACAAUGUAAAUUUUUUGUAAUUGCCAUUUUAUUAAAUUUAAUGUCCUAUUUUUUUAAAUUUUAUUACAUUUCAAUUUUUUUAUAUUAUAGAUUAUGCAAGCAUAAAUGUGGUUCAAUGCCAUUGACCAAGGCAAAAAAUCUUUUAACAAUCACUAAUAUUUGGGAGGUUGUGAAAAAUUAUUUGAAAUUCAAAAUGAUUCCUACGGGUCCAACCAUUGUGUUGAAUGAGGCGCCGCUCCACGAUUCAACGGUAUCGGAUUUGCCGUUGGAGUCCCCGAUGAAUCAAGACUCAAAAAUCCAAAGGGAGCUGAGGCCUAUUGGGAGAUAUGAGGCAAAGGUCAAGAAAGGAAGUAAUUCCACCAAUGAUUGUGUAAAAAAUUUGGAGCAAAUUACUCUGAACGGCACAAUGAGAAUUGAGAGAGACAUGAAAAGAUUUGCGGAUGAGAAGGCAAUAGAUGAAGCAUUUGCAAGAGAAUGGGAGCAUGCACACAAACAAGACAUGAAAAAGAGGGAUCGAGAAACCAUGGUCAUGGAUACAAGUCAUAUGUCCCCUGAAACAAAGUCAUUUUGGAAGCUAGAACGAAAGGAUGUUAUGAGAAGAAGGCUUUUCCAUGACGAUGGACCAAGCAACAAUGAUUCAUUAAAUGAUGAAAACCAUUAGGUUGUAUUGCUUGUCUUUUACUUCAUUAGUUGUAUUGCUUGUCUUUUAUUUAAUUGGUAAAUGAUGAAACUUAAGAUGUGAAUUUUAUAAUAAAAAUGGACAUGUGGUAACCGAAAAUCUUAUUAGAAAAUUUUAUUCAAAAUUUUUUAUCCAAAAUAUGAGAUGUGAAUUUAAUAAUAAAUAUUAACACGUAGCAACUAAAAAUCUUUUCCAAAUUAAUCGUUUAAGUUAAAUUUAAAAAAAUUAAAGUGCAUAAUAUUUGCCAUUUGCCAUGGCAAUGGGUGGAAACACAACAAAUCUUGUGCAAGAGCUGACACUAUUCAUGUGAAUAGUAACAGCCAUUGCCUUCCCUUACCUUUCCACCCAUGGUCCAUGGCAAAGGGCAAGGGCAAGUAAGGGCAGGCACUAUUCACAUGAAUAGUGGCAUCCCUUGCAAAGGGCAAAUUGUGUUUUCACCCAUUACCAUGACAACCUAAGAGCAAUCCCUAUUUACAUGAGAUUAAUUUUAUUUAUAUGUGUGAGAUUAAUAAUAAUAAAAUUGCUAGGCAUGUAUAAAAAAAUGUUUCUAAAUUUUUCAGAUUUUUUUUUAAUUUUUUAAUUUUUUUUUUUUUUACGUUGAUGACGUUAGCUCUAAUGUUAUCGCCCUCAGGCAACAUCUCAAGUAAGGAUGACAUAAAUCUCGGCGAGGGCGGGUGCCCGACCCUAAUAGGGGGAGAUUUCGAGGUAAAAUUGGUAUCAAAUAUAGGGAUUCCCGAACUUGAAAAAUCUCCGACGGGUACGGGGCGGGGAUGGUAUUGGUGUCCCCGUCCCCGAAGUCGACCCGAAAUAUAUAUGUUUAUAUUUAAAUAAAUAUAUAUAUAAUUAUAACAUUUAGGUUUACCCCUAAGUUAACCUCCCUUUCCUAAUUCUUUCUAAUCUUCUCUAAUCUCCAACUGCACCUCUCUCUCCCUCCCUCUGCUCCUAAUUCUUCCUAAUCCUAAUCUUCUCUAUAUCUCUAGUCUCAAGUCUCUUUGUAUAUAAACUGUAUCUCAAGUCUUCAUUACAAAUCCACCGUAAUUUUUUUUUCUAUAUAUAAUUUAUAUGUGCUUGGCAAAUGGCUUUUUUAUGUGUAAAGAGAAUAUUGUUCAAGUUGAAAGUCUUAAAUUCAUAGAGAGGCCUUUGGUGGAGAUUUGUUCUUAGGAGAAUCUUGUCCACCUGCUUUGUAUUAAUUUGAUUUUACAAAGAAAAAAAAAUUGGGGGAUUAGAGGAGGGUAUGGGAGAUAGUCCCUCAACAAGGACUCGGACGAGGAUUUCCUGAAACCUAUUAAACGGGGAUGGGUUCGAAGACGGGGACAAAGAUGGUAUUGUCAUACCCGGCCCAUACCCGACCCGUUGCCAUCCCUAAACUCAGGUUGUUUUUGCCUUUGUGCCUGCCCAGGAUUUUGGAGCCCACAUCUGGCCAGGCUGCUUGUUGCUUGCUGGAGGUUGCUUCGCAGGCCUAGGGGGCCUCCUGUCCGAACUGGGGUGUAGCACUGGAAGUGCUCUAAUGGGCCUGGCCUAGCUAGUAUAUUUUUCUACAUUUCAUUUUCAGGUACAUUCCAACUUUUAAAUUAAUUUUCACUUGGGAAAUUCAAAUUUACACUCUUAUAUAACCAAAUCCACGGAUGAUCAUACAUCUGUCCAACACUUGUUAAAUUAUCUCCAACCAUAUUUGCUUCUCGAAAGAUACAUCGAAAACAAAAUGGGAGAUUUGAUUUAAAUAUCAUGUUCAACAGAAUGAAUGUUUAAGAAUACUUGAAUAUCCUUAUUGAUAAUUUGUAUUAAAACCUUCGAAUCUCCCUUGAUCUCUAAAUUGGAACGUCGUAGUCUAAGAGUUGUUUGAAGAAUGCGACGAAGAGCCGGUUGAAGAGUACAGCUGGGGGUUGGACGGGGAAGAGGGGGCAAUGGGUGGGAGUUGAGAUGUAAUAAGAGGGGUUGUUUUUAAUCCUUUCUUUUUUCGUGAGGGAAGAACUGGUUUCACCUUAGGGCACGAAAUGAAGUCUUCUCCCCCACCUCCCUUCUGCAUCGGCCGCUAUUCGCAACUGCCUUAUCUGUUUUGCUUUGCAUCGUUUAAGACCUCAUGAUCGACAUUGCCUCAAGGCCAACCGAGACAAGGCUUUCUAAAACCUUUGUAUUUAUAUACAUGAGCAUAUACUUCCGUCUGAAAUACUGUCAACAUUAUUCGCGGAUGACACUGAUUAUCACCUUUUAACGGCAUAUUUGUCAAACACUUUUACUCAACUCUCUCCUCCCACUCCAUCCCUCUCAGCAGCCUUCUCCCUUCACCUCUCAUCCAUUUCCCCUGAACUAGUUCUUUCUUGUUUGUUCCUUCCUUCCAAAUCUAUUCAUAAGCUUUAGAGGCUGAACAUACCAAAUUUGUGAACGAGUCUAAUAUUUUAUUCAUGUUUGAUUUGGUUCCCUUAAGUAUGACCUCAAAUGUGCCAAAGCAGGCUAAGCACAAGACGACCUCGACCUAUCAAACCAAUUUCAAUCCUAUACAUGAUUACAACCUUAUGCAGGGUGUGCUGCACAACUGCUGCUGCAAACUAUUAGAAAUGAAGUAAGAAAUGCACAGAAUUCAAGCAUUCUUGUCUCUCACUGUUACAGACUAUAAAUCCAAAAACUUUAACUAGUACAUAAUGUUUGACGAGACAGUAAGGAACUGACCUAAAAUGGGACUAAAAAAGCAUUGGACUGGCGACCUAUCUAUGCUUUGCAAUACUUCUUUCAUAUAAAUUUCCUGCAUUUUAAAGUGCUUUUCUAAAUUUCUGGAUAAGAGGUUUACUUGUACAGAUUCUCUAUUUUCUCCUCGUACUGAGCCACAACUCUUGUCCUUUGAACUUUCAUAGUUGGAAUCAAUAUGCCACUAUCAAUCUGCAAUGAAAAUGUACUAUUAAUCAGCCAGCCGGUAACAUAUAUACCUUGAAUGGCAAUGCAUGUUUUCCCGUAAAGGCCUCGCUCAUCCACAGUCAAGAUUGUUCCAGUUUGGAAACACCCUGAAGUCCUGCAUGAAAUAGAAGGAAAACAUUAGAGUGCAAUGGUUAAAAAGGUUACUUAAAAGUUAAAGUGAUACAUUUAAAUUCACUCCCACCCCAUCCAAAAGUCCCAGUUAUAAUAUAAUAAGCAUUGGCGACAUUUCUUAUCCCAUUUUUAUCUAUAAUCGAACACAGAUAAAUGUAUGAACAAUCCCAUCAACUGGAUAUUGAUAGAACUUUUUGUUUUCUUUUGAAGAAAAAUAGAAAAUUAUUAAAGUGGAAAAGCUAAUUAGAAAGAGUGGAUAAGGAAUCCACAAUAUGAGGUAAAAGAGAAAACACUAAAAAAAAGAGGUAAGAAAGAAAAAGCUCUAAAUUUGAAACAUCUAAUAUCACUUCGCAAUUGCUCACAAAUCCAACAUUAUAGUAGAAUGGUAAAAAUCCCUAAACUUUGCCGAAAGCUUCCCAGAAACUCACUCUGUCCCAGAGUUUAUUUACCCCCGCGCCCUUAUAAUCCUCAAAUAUUCUUAUUGCGCUCCAUCCAAAUUGUUCCAGGAAAAUGCCGACAAGCAGCACCCGCAUAAUGUUUUGGCUUUCUUUCCCCUUCCAAAACCCUCAAACUUGGUGCUCAGAAAUUCAAAACACCCCUUUGGGAUAACCCAUCUGGCUUCAUCUCCCUAAACAAUUUCCACCACAAUUGUAAAGAACAGGGGCAAGGAAAAUAAAAUAUUCCAACUCCGCAACAAUGGAAACCAAUUCCAAAAUACUCUCCUCUCCAUCAAUUCAAAUGACAAGAUCCAAACUAACAUUUGUCAGAAGUACGUUUUUCUGAAACGAAAAGAUGAAACUUUACAUCGUUUGAGAAAACUGUGCAAUUUAGUGGACAAGUAAUCCACCAAAGAAGAGAAAAGAACAUUAAUUCGACAAAUACAUCUUGCUUAAGAAGGAAAAAUUAAUUAUGACACUGCAGCUUUCGUAUCUAGAAUAACAUUUGACAGAAGUUAGAAUGUUGAGCCAUUAAUUAAUAAAUAAAUAAAAUCUGUUUCCUCUAAUACCCAUUUCUCAGUAACAGCUGACAAAACAAUAAUUGGAUGGAUCCAACAUAACACAAGGGGUUAUGCAACUAAAUGGAAGAAACUAAACAAAAAAUGACUUUGAAAAGUUCAAAUUUACAAAAUGCUUAGAAUUGACAUAUGGUCCCUUCAAGCUGCAACCCUCUGGCAAUAUCCUUAAGUGAAACAAAGCUUGGAACAAGGUCCCAUGCCCCCGAAAUCCAUGAAGGUAAUCCAUCAACCUCAACCGUCACAAGGCCCGUUGUUGUGGGAGUAUAAGCCUGCAAUCUAUCCUGAUGUAUCCCCAAAACUUGCCCUUCC